GGGGAUGUCGGGUUUCGACAGACGAUCAGAUUGUAGAAUUGCAGGUCGAGGUGUCGGUAAAGCACUCUCGUUAAACAACCGACAAAACAAUAGCUGCCAAACAACCGACAGCUUCUUACGCUCUCGCUGCCUAAGAACCAGUGAUGCGUCGUCCCCCCGACUUUCGCCUAUGGGGUCGGGCCAGGGCGUCACAUACAUAGGCCGCUCUAGCGAGGACUGCUCUCUAAUCGCUAGCUAAGACCAGAGGGCCAGCACGUC
rnacentral:tmRNA from 1 species